GUACCAGUUGUCGUGCCAACGGCAUAGCUGGGUAGCUAUGUGUGGACGGGAUAAGUGCUGAAAGCAUCUAAGCAUGAAGCCCCCCUCAAGAUGAGAUUUCCCAACUUCGGUUAUAAGAUCCCUCAAAGAUGAUGAGGUUAAUAGGUUCGAGGUGGAAGCAUGGUGACAUGUGGAGCUGACGAAUACUAAUCGAUCGAAGACUUAAUCAA
rnacentral:rRNA from 1 species